UGCUUCUUUGCUGACGAGUGGCGGACGGGUGAGUAAUGUCUGGGAAACUGCCUGAUGGAGGGGGAUAACUACUGGAAACGGUAGCUAAUACCGCAUAACGUCGCAAGACCAAAGAGGGGGACCUUCGGGCCUCUUGCCAUCGGAUGUGCCCAGAUGGGAUUAGCUAGUAGGUGGGGUAACGGCUCACCUAGGCGACGAUCCCUAGCUGGUCUGAGAGGAUGACCAGCCACACUGGAACUGAGACACGGUCCAGACUCCUACGGGAGGCAGCAGUGGGGAAUAUUGCACAAUGGGCGCAAGCCUGAUGCAGCCAUGCCGCGUGUAUGAAGAAGGCCUUCGGGUUGUAAAGUACUUUCAGCGGGGAGGAAGGGAGUAAAGUUAAUACCUUUGCUCAUUGACGUUGCCCGCAGAAGAAGCACCGGCUAACUCCGUGCCAGCAGCCGCGGUAAUACGGAGGGUGCAAGCGUUAAUCGGAAUUACUGGGCGUAAAGCGCACGCAGGCGGUUUGUUAAGUCAGAUGUGAAAUCCCCGGGCUCAACCUGGGAACUGCAUCUGAUACUGGCAAGCUUGAGUCUCGUAGAGGGGGGUAGAAUUCCAGGUGUAGCGGUGAAAUGCGUAGAGAUCUGGAGGA
rnacentral:rRNA from 1 species